rnacentral:rRNA from 1 species
CAGCCGGUUUCCUUCUCCGAGCCGCCCUCGUCCGUCCGUCCGUCCGUGCCCAGGCCGACCUCCCCUCCCCUUCCCUCCUCCGCUCUAUAUAACGCCACGCCCCACCUUCCUCCCAAGCCACGCAACACAGAUCAAUUCUGCCUUCUCCAGCCACCGCCCGCCGGAAGAAAGAAAGCAUCUUUGCUUCUCGCCGCCGCCGGUGAGGGAGGGAGGAAGGAAGGAGGCAGGGGAUCCCAUUGGGUGUUGCCGGUUUGGAGCCAGGGUGAUGAGCUGCCUCACGUUCCGCCGCUCCGCCGCCGACGCAAGCCGCCUCCAGGACGGCCUCCUCGUCUUCAUGUUCUUCAUCUCGAUUCCCAUACGUAGUCUGAAUACUUCGUCUUCUUCUUCUCGUCGGGCGACGGUCGCGCCGGCGGCCAUGGAUCCCAACAGCUUCAAAACCGGAGGCCUUCUGCUUCCAACCAUUGAGAGGCGGUGCGCUUCGCCUCCAUCUGUGAUCGUGAUCGGCGGCGGAAUCUCAGGGAUUGCCGCGGCUCGUGUCCUCUCCAAUUCCUCUUUUGAGGUGACUGUCCUUGAGUCGAGAGAUCGAAUCGGCGGCCGUGUUCACACGGAUUACUCCUUUGGAUGCCCCAUUGACAUGGGAGCCUCAUGGUUGCACGGUGUCAGUAAUGAGAAUUCUUUAGCACCACUGAUAAGCCAUCUUGGGCUGAGAUUAUACCACACUAGUGGUGACAACUCUGUUUUGUAUGACCAUGAUUUGGAAAGCUGUUCGCUCUUUGAUAAGAACGGCCUUGCAGUCCCAAUGGAGACGGCUGCUAAAGUUGGCGUGAUAUUUGAGAAAAUUCUCAAGGAGACGGUGAAACUCCGUGAUGAGCAGGAGCACGACAUGCCCCUUGAACAGGCAAUCUCGAUGGUGCUUGAGAGGCACCCUGAUCUCAAGCUGGAAGGGCUAGAUGAUCGAAUCCUGCAAUGGUGCGUCUGCCGGCUGGAGGCAUGGUUUGCUGCAGAUGCAGAUGAAAUAUCUCUGAAGAACUGGGAUCAGGAACAUGUUCUCACUGGUGGCCAUGGCCUGAUGGUUGAUGGAUACUUUCCUGUAAUUCAGGCUCUCGCUCAAGGUCUCGACAUCCGUCUGAAUCAGAGAGUGAAGAAAAUUGCACGCCAGCAGAAGGGAGUGACCGUCACCAUCGAAGACGGCACGCAAUACUCUGCCGACGCCUGCAUAAUCACUGUGCCGCUCGGUGUGCUGAAGGCGAACAUAAUCAAGUUCGAGCCUGAGCUGCCCUCCUGGAAGAGCUCCGCCAUCGCGGACCUCGGCGUCGGCAUAGAAAACAAGGUCGCCAUGCACUUCGACAAGGCCUUCUGGCCUAAUGUCCAGGUGCUGGGCAUGGUCGGCCCUACGCCGAAGACCUGCGGCUACUUCCUGAACCUCCACAAGGCCACUGGCCACCCGGUGCUCGUCUUCAUGGCAGCCGGUCGGUUCGCCCAGGAUGUGGAGAAGCUCUCAGACAAGGAGGCCGUGGAACUCGUCAUGUGUCACCUGAGGAAGAUGAUACCCGACGCCACUGAACCCAGUCAGUACCUGGUAUCGCGGUGGGGCUCGGACCCGAACUCGCUGGGGUCCUACUCGUGCGACCUGGUGGGGAAGCCGUCGGACGUGUGCGAGAGGUUCUCGGCGCCGGUGGAGAGCGUGCUGUACUUCGCUGGAGAGGCGGCCAGCGCGGAGCACUCGGGAGCUGUGCACGGCGCAUACUCGUCAGGCAUGGACGCCGCUGAGGAAUGCCGGAGGAGGCUGCUGAUGAGGAAGGGCGUUCCGGACCUCGUCCAGGUCGGCGCCGCCGCCUGCGAAGAGAUGGCCGACGUCGUCGCCCCUCUCCAGAUUUGCCGCACCUAGAGAUGAUUCUUCGAUACAGCUGCGUUCUGCCAUGCCCGAUUGGUCUGAUGAUUGACAGAAGCCGAUCAAUGUGCAGUCGAUCAGUCCGAGUCGGCAGAACGCAAGAUUGAAUUCAGAUUUCCUUUUUUUUCACAUCUUCUAUUUUCUCGUGUUGCUUUGGAUCAAGGAACAUUUGAUCGAUGCCUGUGCUGCUGUGCACUGUGGACACUUGAUUUAUAGCGUUACCAAUUUGUUAUGUCCGAUCAAUCAAUAAAUUUUAGACAAGUGACAUUUGGGUACUGAGUCUUGUACGUAUGAUUUUUUUCAUUCUGGACAUGAAUCCUGU